rnacentral:rRNA from 1 species
GCCCUUCGGGGUGCGCAGGCGCGAAAACUUUGCACUUCGGGAAACCUUGAUAGGGGUAUCCCGAGUGCCAUCCGCUGAGGAUGGCUUUUACCCUGUCUAAAUCGCUGGGGGAAUAAGGAGAGGGCAAGUAUGGUGUCCGCCCCCCCGGUAAUACCAGCUCUCCCAAUGGUGUGCAUGUUUAUUGGGCCUAAAACGUCCCUAACUCGGUCAAUUAAUCCCCUGGUAAAUCCUCCCAACUCAUCCUUGGAUUGCCAGGGAUAUUGCUUGAAUCUUGGAACAGAGAGACGUACGAUGUUUCCCGGGUAUGGGUGAAAUCUUAUAAUCCCGGGAAGACAACCCCUGUCGAAAGCUGUUUGCUACAAAGCGCCCGACGGUGAGGGAUAAAAGCUGGGGGAGCAAACCGGAUAAUAUACCCGGGUAUUCCCACCUGUAAACAAUACACACUAUGUGUUUGAAGGGCCACGUGCCGUUCUAUUGCCCCACGGAAACUGUUUAAUCUGCCUCCUGGGGAGUACAAUCUCACGAUUGAAACUUAUAGGAAUUGUGCGGGGGAGAAC